GUGCCAGCAGCCGCGGUAAGACGGAGGGUGCAAGCGUUGUUCGGAAUUACUGGGCGUAAAGGGCGCGUAGGCGGUCUGUUAAGUUCGGUGUGAAAGCCCCCGGCUCACCUGGGGAACUGCGCCGGAAACCGACAGACUCGAGUACCGGAGAGGAGGGUGGAAUUCCUGGUGUAGCGGUGAAAUGCGUAGAUAUCAGGAGGAACACCGGUGGCGAAGGCGGCCCUCUGGACGGAUACUGACGCUGAGGCGCGAAAGCGUGGGGAUCAAACAGGAUUAGAUACCCUGGUAGUCC
rnacentral:rRNA from 1 species